GACGAACGCUGGCGGCGUGCUUAACACAUGCAAGUCGAACGGUGACCCAGGGCUUGCCCUGGUGAUCAGUGGCGAACGGGUGAGUAACACGUGGGGCAACCUGCCCCUGACUUCGGGAUAACUCCUCGAAAGAGGAGCUAAUACCGGAUACGACCACUUCGGACAUCCGAUGGUGGUGGAAAGUUUUUCGGUCAGGGAUGGGCCCGCGGCCUAUCAGCUAGUUGGUGGGGUAAUGGCCUACCAAGGCGACGACGGGUAGCCGGCCUGAGAGGGCGACCGGCCACACUGGGACUGAGACACGGCCCAGACUCCUACGGGAGGCAGCAGUGGGGAAUAUUGCGCAAUGGGCGAAAGCCUGACGCAGCGACGCCGCGUGAGGGAUGAAGGCCUUCGGGUUGUAAACCGUCUUUCAGCAGGACGAAGCGAAAGUGACGGUACCUGCAGAAGAAGCACCGGCUAACUACGUGCCAGCAGCCGCGGUAAU
rnacentral:rRNA from 1 species